CGCGGCCUAUCAGCUUGUUGGUGAGGUAAUGGCUCACCAAGGCGACGACGGGUAGCCGGCCUGAGAGGGUGACCGGCCACACUGGGACUGAGACACGGCCCAGACUCCUACGGGAGGCAGCAGUGGGGAAUAUUGCACAAUGGGCGAAAGCCUGAUGCAGCAACGCCGCGUGGGGGAUGAAGGCCUUCGGGUUGUAAACCUCUUUCAGUAGGGAAGAAGCUGAAGUGACCGGCCCUGCAAAGGAAGGACCGGUUAACUACGUGCCACCCGCCGCGGUAAUACGUCCGGUACUAGCGUUGUCCGGAAUUAUUGGGCGUAAAGAGCUCGUAUGCGGCUUGGCAAGUGUGAAAAGAAAUCCCUAGGCUCUGCCUCGGAUCGUCGGUCUGCUCUGCCUUGGCUAGGGUCCAGUAGAGGAGAAUGGAAUUCCCGGUGUAGAAAUGAAAUGAUAUCAUAUCGAACAGGAACACCAGAAGGGAAGGCUCUUCUCUGGGCCGGUACCUAAGCUGAGGAGCAAAGGCGUGCGGAGCAGACUAGAUUAGAUGCCCUGCCAGUCCACGCCGUUACGUUGGGUACUAGGUGUGGCGAGUUGUACCUCCACGU
rnacentral:rRNA from 1 species